CAGUCGCCGCGGGAAUACGAAGGGUGCAAGCGUUACUCGGAAUUACUGGGCGUAAAGCGUGUGUAGGUGGUUGUUUAAGUCUGUCGUGAAAGCCCUGGGCUCAACCUGGGAAUUGCGAUGGAUACUGGGCGACUAGAGUGCGGUGGAGGAUAGUGGAAUUUCCGGUGUAGCAGUGAAAUGCGUAGAGAUCGGAAGGAACAUCUGUGGCGAAGGCGACUAUCUGGGCCAACACUGACACUGAGACACGAGAGCGUGGGGAGCAAACGGGAUUAGAUACCCCCGUAGUCCCUGUCUCUAUACC
rnacentral:rRNA from 1 species